CAAUAGCGUAUAUUUAAGUUGUUGCAGUUAAAAAGCUCGUAGUUGGAUUUCGGAUGGGACUUGCCGGUCCGUCGUUUCGAUGUGCACUGGCCAGUCCUAUCUUGUUGUCGGGGACUAGCUCCUGGGCUUCACUGUCCGGGACUAGGAGCUGACGAGGUUACUUUGAGUAAAUUAGAGUGUUCAAAGCAAGCCUACGCUCUGAAUACAUUAGCAUGGAAUAACACGAUAGGACUCUGGCUUAUCUUGUUGGUCUGUGAGACCAGAGUAAUGAUUAAGAGGGACAGUCGGGGGCAUUCGUAUUUCAUUGUCAGAGGUGAAAUUCUUGGAUUUAUGAAGGACGAACUUCUGCGAAAGCAUUUGUCAAGGAUGUUUUCAUUAA
rnacentral:rRNA from 1 species